GCUGGAGGUGACAGCACAUGCCUGUAGUCCCAACUACUUGGGAGGCUGAAGCAGGAGGAUCACUUGAGUCCAGGAGUUCUGGGCUGUAGAGUGCUGUGCCAGUCACGUGUCCACACUAAGUUCAGCAUCAGUGUGGUGAUGUCCUGGGAGCCAGGGUCCACCAGGUUGCCUAAAGAAGGGUGAACCAGCCCAGGUCAAAAGCUGGGCAAGUCAAAACUCCUGUGCUGCUCUGUAAUGCGGUCAUACCUGUGAAGAGCCGCUGCACUCCAGCCUGGGUGGCAUAGUGAGACUCUGUCUGUU
ensembl:misc_RNA Metazoa_SRP Metazoan signal recognition particle RNA